UACGUAGGGUGCGAGCGUUGUCCGGAAUUACUGGGCGUAAAGAGCUUGUAGGUGGUUUGUCGCGUUGUUCGUGAAAUCUCACGGCUCAACUGUGAGCGUGCGGGCGAUACGGGCAGACUAGAGUACUGCAGGGGAGACUGGAAUUCCUGGUGUAGCGGUGGAAUGCGCAGAUAUCAGGAGGAACACCAGUGGCGAAGGCGACUACCUGGCCUGUUCUUGACGCUGAGGCGCGAAAGCUGGGGGAGCAAACGGG
rnacentral:rRNA from 1 species